rnacentral:rRNA from 1 species
GACGAGGCACUACGGUGCUGAAGCAACAAAUGCCCUGCUUCCAGGAAAAGCCUCUAAGCAUCAGGUAACAUUAAAUCGUACCCCAAACCGACACAGGUGGUCAGGUAGAGAAUACCAAGGCGCUUGAGAGAACUCGGGUGAAGGAACUAGGCAAAAUGGUGCCGUAACUUCGGGAGAAGGCACGCUGAUAUGUAGGUGAAGCGACUUGCUCGUGGAGCUGAAAUCAGUCGAAGAUACCAGCUGGCUGCAACUGUUUAUUAAAAACACAGCACUGUGCAAACACGAAAGUGGACGUAUACGGUGUGACGCCUGCCCGGUGCCGGAAGGUUAAUUGAUGGGGUUAGCGGUAACGCGAAGCUCUUGAUCGAAGCCCCGGUAAACGGCGGCCGUAACUAUAACGGUCCUAAGGUAGCGAAAUUCCUUGUCGGGUAAGUUCCGACCUGCACGAAUGGCGUAAUGAUGGCCAGGCUGUCUCCACCCGAGACUCAGUGAAAUUGAACUCGCUGUGAAGAUGCAGUGUACCCGCGGCAAGACGGAAAGACCCCGUGAACCUUUACUAUAGCUUGACACUGAACAUUGAGCCUUGAUGUGUAGGAUAGGUGGGAGGCUUUGAAGUGUGGACGCCAGUCUGCAUGGAGCCGACCUUGAAAUACCACCCUUUAAUGUUUGAUGUUCUAACGUAGGCCCCUUAUCGGGGUUGCGGACAGUGUCUGGUGGGUAGUUUGACUGGGGCGGUCUCCUCCUAAAGAGUAACGGAGGAGCACGAAGGUUGGCUAAUCCUGGUCGGACAUCAGGAGGUUAGUGCAAUGGCAUAAGCCAGCUUGACUGCGAGCGUGACGGCGCGAGCAGGUGCGAAAGCAGGUCAUAGUGAUCCGGUGGUUCUGAAUGGAAGGGCCAUCGCUCAACGGAUAAAAGGUACUCCGGGGAUAACAGGCUGAUACCGCCCAAGAGUUCAUAUCGACGGCGGUGUUUGGCACCUCGAUGUCGGCUCAUCACAUCCUGGGGCUGAAGUAGGUCCCAAGGGUAUGGCUGUUCGCCAUUUAAAGUGGUACGCGAGCUGGGUUUAGAACGUCGUGAGACAGUUCGGUCCCUAUCUGCCGUGGGCGCUGGAGAACUGAGGGGGGCUGCUCCUAGUACGAGAGGACCGGAGUGGACGCAUCACUGGUGUUCGGGUUGUCAUGCCAAUGGCACUGCCCGGUAGCUAAAUGCGGAAGAGAUAAGUGCUGAAAGCAUCUAAGCACGAAACUUGCCCCGAGAUGAGUUCUCCCUGACCCUUUAAGGGUCCUGAAGGAACGUUGAAGACGACGACGUUGAUAGGCCGGGUGUGUAAGCGCAGCGAUGCGUUGAGCUAACCGGUACUAAUGAACCGUGAGG